AGUGGCCAGGUUCUGAUGUUACUCUUAAACCUGAUAUUGGAUCAUCUCCCAGCCUGACAACCCCCUCCUGACCCGUUUCUUCGCCUCUCCCCCCUCCAUGCAGGGGAGCAGAGUGAUCUUUCAAAGGCACAGACUUCAUUUAACCCCCUCCUGCUGAAACCCUUUACUGGUAUCUCCUGGUCUGCCGGUCAGUGGCUGGAAGCCGGAGCCCAUUACAGGCCCAUGUCCCACCGCCCGUGCCUUUCCCACUGCCUCUUGCUGCGUGGCCUUGUCCUUCAGCAGCACCCGCUUUCCAGACGGAGUUUUCCCGCCUGGAGGGCUCCCCUCCAUCUCCCCGUCCAGCUCUGUGAAUCUGUUCCAAGUUUCUGAGAGGACUUUUUCAGAGGACUCCGCGUCAGUGCAAUGCAAGAGGAGCUCAGUGAGCGAGGAGAUUUCCCAACAACCAGGGGGCUCAGCAGGAAAGGAGCUGCCUUAGAAGAUACAAAGCUCACCAUCUCUAGGAGCAUCUAGCAGCAGGUGGGAGACCUUCUAGGGCUCAAAGGCUCUAAGGUUCCAUGGCGCCAAUGUCCCCUGGCUCCGAGGUCCUGUGACACCAGGUUCUGUUCUGUUUCAUGUCAUCCUUUGCAAAGGGAGGACCAGCCCCUGUUAUGAGCUCCCAGGCCAUUUGUUAAGAAGGAAAUGUGUAGCCGACACCCGCCACUUUGUUAAAACUGGUACAAACAGAACAUCUCACAUUUCAGAGCUGUCACUCCACUGAGAGUCAUUCACAUAAACAACAAGGUCCUCGUGGGUUUGAUGGCAACACAAACACCACUUGUGACUCAAUUAAGGAAGCGGUAAUUAAAAAGGGGGAACAGCAUGUCGUCUCUCCAAUCAUAUCUUUCCACUGGGGCCUGGCCCACUGGAUCUAGUGGGCUCCAGGGCUGUUAGGGAAUCUGCCCCAGGGCCUGUGCUCCUGGCCCAGGCAGAGCUCGCCUGGGUGAGGUGCAAGGGGAGGGAAGACAUGGGGACAUGCCUCGGGGAGCACCCCAUGUCUCACACCAGCAAGGGGUAUAAGUUAAUAAAAAUUAUUGCGAAUUAACAGAGUGCAUCUGAGGGGAAGCAAUGUUGCCCCCUGGAGAUUAGCCACAGUUCCUUGGAUCUCAGAUCAUCAUAGCCAAUAUUUUUAGUUUUUACUGUCUUAAGAACUUGGAGGUAUUAAGUCCUACCAUUCUCAUGAGAUAAACUGCUGUUAG
rnacentral:lncRNA from 1 species